UACGAAGGGGGCUAGCGUUGCUCGGAAUCACUGGGCGUAAAGCGCACGUAGGCGGCUUGUUAAGUCAGGGGUGAAAUCCUGGAGCUCAACUCCAGAACUGCCUUUGAUACUGGCGAGCUUGAGUCCGGGAGAGGUGAGUGGAACUGCGAGUGUAGAGGUGAAAUUCGUAGAUAUUCGCAAGAACACCAGUGGCGAAGGCGGCUCACUGGCCCGGUACUGACGCUGAGGUGCGAAAGCUAGGGGAGCAAACAGG
rnacentral:rRNA from 1 species